CUUGAACAGUUUCACUGUGUGAAGGGAAGGGUGUCACCGGUGAAGGGAAGUUCAAGAUCAAAUCUGAGCAACUAGGGAGAAAGCUCAAAGGUGGAACAGUUCCCUGCCAUGUGUACAAAGUUCUAGGUUCCAGCCUUAGCACUGCUAGGGCCCCGCCCCUCAAAAGAGAUGCACUUCAGAAAUUUCCCAUUCAAAACUUUACAUUUACUUGGAAUGAGAAUGGCCCCUUCAGGCACCUUCAUUUGAAUGCUUGUUCCUUCCUAGAACUGAAAAGGAUUAGGAAGUGUGGACUGGCUGAAAGAGGUGUGUCACUGAGGGUGGGAUUGAAGUUUUCAAAAGCUCAGGCCAUCUCCCCAGUCAGAUCUCUGUGCCUCUGGUUUGAAGAUAAGUGUGUGAGCUCUCAGCUACUGCUCCAGCACCAUCUCUGCCUGCCUGCCUGCCUGCCUGCUGCCAUGUUCUUCAC
rnacentral:lncRNA from 1 species